GACGAACGCUGGCGGCGUGCUUAACACAUGCAAGUCGAACGGAAAGGCCCUGCCUUUGUUGGGUGCUCGAGUGGCGAACGGGUGAGUAACACGUGAGUAACCUGCCCUUUACUGUGGGAUAACUUCAGGAAACUGUGGCUAAUACCGGAUAGGAGCUCCUGCUGCAUGGCGGUGGCUUGAAAGGUUCGGCGGCUGGGGAUGGAGUCGCGGCUUCUCAGCAUGAUGGUGUGGUUGUGGCGUCCCAAGGCCUGGGCGGGUAGCCGGACUGGGAGGGUGACCGGCCACAGUGGGACUGAGAAGGGGGCCAGACGCCUACGGGAGGCAGGGGUGGGGAAUAUUGCAAGAUGGGCGGAGGCCUGAUGGAGCAAUGCCGCGUGCGGGAGGACGGCCUUAGGGUAGUAACCAGCUUUCGCCUGUGACGAAGCGUGAGUGACGGUAACGGGUAAAGAAGCAACGGCUAACUACGUG
rnacentral:rRNA from 1 species